CGCGGCCCUGCCUACACCCCGACUUCAUCCCAGUGAGGAGGACGUCGGACUUCUGGCCUCCAGAGCUGUGAGAAAAUACAUUUGAGAUGUUCAAGCUGCCCAAUGUCUGGUCAUUUGUUACAAAAGAUAUGGAAAAUCAACGCACCAGUAACUGGAGAAAAUUGAUCACGACUGAAAGGCAGUGGGCAAAACGUACUGUUGUAGGUCAGCCCAGACCAGAAACUGGUGUUGAAAGGCUCAG
rnacentral:lncRNA from 10 species